rnacentral:rRNA from 1 species
CCUACGGGAGGCAGCAGUGGGGAAUUUUGGGCAAUGGGCGCAAGCCUGACCCAGCGACGCCGCGUGGAGGAUGAAGGCCUUCGGGUUGUAAACUCCUGUCAGGUGGGAAGAAAUGCCCGUCGGUGAAUAGCCGACGGGAGUUGACGGUACCACCAAAGGAAGCCCCGGCUAACUCCGUGCCAGCAGCCGCGGUAAUACGGAGGGGGCAAGCGUUAUUCGGAUUUACUGGGCGUAAAGCGCACGUAGGCGGCUAGGCAAGUCGCAGGUGAAAGCCCUCGGCUCAACCGAGGAACUGCCUGCGAAACUGCUCUGCUUGAGUCCGGGAGGGGGGAGCGGAAUUCCCAGUGUAGCGGUGAAAUGCGUAGAUACUGGGAGGAACACCGGUGGCGAAGGCGGCUCCCUGGACCGGUACUGACGCUGAGGUGCGAAAGCGUGGGUAGCAAACAGGAUUAGAUACCCUGGUAGUCCACGCCGUAAACGAUGGGCACUAGGUGCAGCGGGUGUCGACCCCUGCUGUGCCGAAGUUAACGCAUUAAGUGCCCCGCCUGGGGAGUACGGUCGCAAGGCUGAAACUCAAAGGAAUGACGAAUCUCGACCCCCCGGGCC